ensembl:snRNA U6 U6 spliceosomal RNA
CUGCUCACUUGGCAGCACAUACACUAAAAUUGGAACAAUACAGGGAAGAUUACCGUGGCCCCUGCGCAAGAGUGAACGGUUUCAGUGAGUGCUGUUUGUACUAAUU